AGCUCCAAUAGCGUAUAUUAAAGUUGUUGCAGUUAAAAAGCUCGUAGUUGGAUUUGUGGUGUACUUCGGCGGCCCAUCACUAAGUGACGGAGCUUGCUAAAGUCGCCAUCCUUGGGUGGAUCCUGUGUGGCAUUCAGUUGUCGUGCAGGGGAUGCCCAUCGUUUACUGUGAAAAAAUUAGAGUGUUCAAAGCAGGCUUAUGCCGUUGAAUAUGUUAGCAUGGAAUAAUAAGAUAGGACCUUGGUACUAUUUUGUUGGUUUGCGCACCAAGGUAAUGAUUAAUAGGGACAGUUGGGGGUAUUCGUAUUUCAUUGUCAGAGGUGAAAUUCUUGGAUUUUUGAAAGACGAACUACUGCGAAAGCAUUUACCAAGGAUGUUU
rnacentral:rRNA from 1 species